GCAGUCGAACGAACUCUGGUAUUGAUUGGUGCUUGCAUCAUGAUUUACAUUUGAGUGAGUGGCGAACUGGUGAGUAACACGUGGGAAACCUGCCCAGAAGCGGGGGAUAACACCUGGAAACAGAUGCUAAUACCGCAUAACAACUUGGACCGCAUGGUCCGAGUUUGAAAGAUGGCUUCGGCUAUCACUUUUGGAUGGUCCCGCGGCGUAUUAGCUAGAUGGUGGGGUAACGGCUCACCAUGGCAAUGAUACGUAGCCGACCUGAGAGGGUAAUCGGCCACAUUGGGACUGAGACACGGCCCAAACUCCUACGGGAGGCAGCAGUAGGGAAUCUUCCACAAUGGACGAAAGUCUGAUGGAGCAACGCCGCGUGAGUGAAGAAGGGUUUCGGCUCGUAAAACUCUGUUGUUAAAGAAGAACAUAUCUGAGAGUAACUGUUCAGGUAUUGACGGUAUUUAACCAGAAAGCCACGGCUAACUACGUGCCAGCAGCCGCGGUAAUACGUAGGUGGCAAGCGUUGUCCGGAUUUAUUGGGCGUAAAGCGAGCGCAGGCGGUUUUUUAAGUCUGAUGUGAAAGCCUUCGGCUCAACCGAAGAAGUGCAUCGGAAACUGGGAAACUUGAGUGCAGAAGAGGACAGUGGAACUCCAUGUGUAGCGGUGAAAUGCGUAGAUAUAUGGAAGAACACCAGUGGCGAAGGCGGCUGUCUGGUCUGUAACUGACGCUGAGGCUCGAAAGUAUGGGUAGCAAACAGGAUUAGAUACCCUGGUAGUCCAUACCGUAAACGAUGAAUGCUAAGUGUUGGAGGGUUUCCGCCCUUCAGUGCUGCAGCUAACGCAUUAAGCAUUCCGCCUGGGGAGUACGGCCGCAAGGCUGAAACUCAAAGGAAUUGACGGGGGCCCGCACAAGCG
rnacentral:rRNA from 1 species